rnacentral:rRNA from 1 species
UAGGGAAUCUUCGGCAAUGGACGAAAGUCUGACCGAGCAACGCCGCGUGAGUGAAGAAGGUUUUCGGAUCGUAAAACUCUGUUGUUAGAGAAGAACAAGGACGUUAGUAACUGAACGUCCCCUGACGGUAUCUAACCAGAAAGCCACGGCUAACUACGUGCCAGCAGCCGCGGUAAUACGUAGGUGGCAAGCGUUGUCCGGAUUUAUUGGGCGUAAAGCGAGCGCAGGCGGUUUCUUAAGUCUGAUGUGAAAGACCCCGGCUCAACCGGGGAGGGUCAUUGGAAACUGGGAGACUUGAGUGCAGAAGAGGAGAGUGGAAUUCCAUGUGUAGCGGUGAAAUGCGUAGAUAUAUGGAGGAACACCAGUGGCGAAGGCGGCUCUCUGGUCUGUAACUGACGCUGAGGCUAGAAAGCGUGGGGAGCAAACAGG